AACAAACGCUGGCGGCGUGCCUAACACAUGCAAGUCGUACGAGAAAGGGUCCUUCGGGGCCUGAGUAAAGUGGCGCACGGGUGAGUAACGCGUGGAUAAUCUGCCCUUCAGUUGGGAAUAACUCAUCGAAAGGUGGGCUAAUACCGAAUAAUGCUGUGAGACCUCGGUUGAUCAGCCAAAGAGAGCCUCUGCUUGCAAGCCCUCGCUGAAGGAUGAGUCCGCGUACCAUUAGCUAGUUGGUAGGGUAAUGGCCUACCAAGGCGACGAUGGUUAGCUUGUCUGAGAUGAUGAUCAGCCCCACUGGAACUGAGACACGGUACAGACUCCCACGGGAGGCAGCAGUGAGGAAUCUUGCGCAAUGGGGGCAACCCUGACGCAGCAACGCCGCGUGAGUGAGGAAGGUCUUCGGAUCGUAAAGCUCUGUCGGAUGGAAAGAACCGCAUAGGGGUAAACAGCCCCUGUGUCUGACGGUACCAUCAAAGGAAGCACCGACUAACUCCGUGCCAGCCGCCGCCGUAACAC
rnacentral:rRNA from 1 species